rnacentral:rRNA from 1 species
GCCUGAAUCAGUGUGUGUGUUAGUGGAAGCGUCUGGAAAGGCGCGCGAUACAGGGUGACAGCCCCGUACACAAAAAUGCACAUACUGUGAGCUCGAUGAGUAGGGCGGGACACGUGGUAUCCUGUCUGAAUAUGGGGGGACCAUCCUCCAAGGCUAAAUACUCCUGACUGACCGAUAGUGAACCAGUACCGUGAGGGAAAGGCGAAAAGAACCCCGGCGAGGGGAGUGAAAAAGAACCUGAAACCGUGUACGUACAAGCAGUGGGAGCCUCUUUAUGGGGUGACUGCGUACCUUUUGUAUAAUGGGUCAGCGACUUAUAUUCUGUAGCAAGGUUAACCGAAUAGGGGAGCCGAAGGGAAACCGAGUCUUAACUGGGCGUUAAGUUGCAGGGUAUAGACCCGAAACCCGGUGAUCUAGCCAUGGGCAGGUUGAAGGUUGGGUAACACUAACUGGAGGACCGAACCGACUAAUGUUGAAAAAUUAGCGGAUGACUUGUGGCUGGGGGUGAAAGGCCAAUCAAACCGGGAGAUAGCUGGUUCUCCCCGAAAGCUAUUUAGGUAGCGCCUCGUGAAUUCAUCUCCGGGGGUAGAGCACUGUUUCGGCAAGGGGGUCAUCCCGACUUACCAACCCGAUGCAAACUGCGAAUACCGGAGAAUGUUAUCACGGGAGACACACGGCGGGUGCUAACGUCCGUCGUGAAGAGGGAAACAACCCAGACCGCCAGCUAAGGUCCCAAAGUCAUGGUUAAGUGGGAAACGAUGUGGGAAGGCCCAGACAGCCAGGAUGUUGGCUUAGAAGCAGCCAUCAUUUAAAGAAAGCGUAAUAGCUCACUGGUCGAGUCGGCCUGCGCGGAAGAUGUAACGGGGCUAAACCAUGCACCGAAGCUGCGGCAGCGACACUAUGUGUUGUUGGGUAGGGGAGCGUUCUGUAAGCCUGCGAAGGUGUACUGUGAGGUAUGCUGGAGGUAUCAGAAGUGCGAAUGCUGACAUAAGUAACGAUAAAGCGGGUGAAAAGCCCGCUCGCCGGAAGACCAAGGGUUCCUGUCCAACGUUAAUCGGGGCAGGGUGAGUCGACCCCUAAGGCGAGGCCGAAAGGCGUAGUCGAUGGGAAACAGGUUAAUAUUCCUGUACUUGGUGUUACUGCGAAGGGGGGACGGAGAAGGCUAUGUUGGCCGGGCGACGGUUGUCCCGGUUUAAGCGUGUAGGCUGGUUUUCCAGGCAAAUCCGGAAAAUCAAGGCUGAGGCGUGAUGACGAGGCACUACGGUGCUGAAGCAACAAAUGCCCUGCUUCCAGGAAAAGCCUCUAAGCAUCAGGUAACAUCAAAUCGUACCCCAAACCGACACAGGUGGUCAGGUAGAGAAUACCAAGGCGCUUGAGAGAACUCGGGUGAAGGAACUAGGCAAAAUGGUGCCGUAACUUCGGGAGAAGGCACGCUGAUAUGUAGGUGAAGCGACUUGCUCGUGGAGCUGAAAUCAGUCGAAGAUACCAGCUGGCUGCAACUGUUUAUUAAAAACACAGCACUGUGCAAACACGAAAGUGGACGUAUACGGUGUGACGCCUGCCCGGUGCCGGAAGGUUAAUUGAUGGGGUUAGCGGUAACGCGAAGCUCUUGAUCGAAGCCCCGGUAAACGGCGGCCGUAACUAUAACGGUCCUAAGGUAGCGAAAUUCCUUGUCGGGUAAGUUCCGACCUGCACGAAUGGCGUAAUGAUGGCCAGGCUGUCUCCACCCGAGACUCAGUGAAAUUGAACUCGCUGUGAAGAUGCAGUGUACCCGCGGCAAGACGGAAAGACCCCGUGAACCUUUACUAUAGCUUGACACUGAACAUUGAGCCUUGAUGUGUAGGAUAGGUGGGAGGCUUUGAAGUGUGGACGCCAGUCUGCAUGGAGCCGGCCUUGAAAUACCACCCUUUAAUGUUUGAUGUUCUAACGUUGGCCCCUGAUCGGGGUUGCGGACAGUGUCUGGUGGGUAGUUUGACUGGGGCGGUCUCCUCCUAAAGAGUAACGGAGGAGCACGAAGGUUGGCUAAUCCUGGUCGGACAUCAGGAGGUUAGUGCAAUGGCAUAAGCCAGCUUGACUGCGAGCGUGACGGCGCGAGCAGGUGCGAAAGCAGGUCAUAGUGAUCCGGUGGUUCUGAAUGGAAGGGCCAUCGCUCAACGGAUAAAAGGUACUCCGGGGAUAACAGGCUGAUACCGCCCAAGAGUUCAUAUCGACGGCGGUGUUUGGCACCUCGAUGUCGGCUCAUCACAUCCUGGGGCUGAAGUAGGUCCCAAGGGUAUGGCUGUUCGCCAUUUAAAGUGGUACGCGAGCUGGGUUUAGAACGUCGUGAGACAGUUCGGUCCCUAUCUGCCGUGGGCGCUGGAGAACUGAGGGGGGCUGCUCCUAGUACGAGAGGACCGGAGUGGACGCAUCACUGGUGUUCGGGUUGUCAUGCCAAUGGCACUGCCCGGUAGCUAAAUGCGGAAGAGAUAAGUGCUGAAAGCAUCUAAGCACGAAACUUGCCCCGAGAUGAGUUCUCCCUGACUCCUUGA